rnacentral:rRNA from 1 species
ACUCCUACGGGAGGCAGCAGUGGGGAAUUUUGCGCAAUGGGGGAAACCCUGACGCAGCAACGCCGCGUGAGUGAUGAAGGCCUUCGGGUCGUAAAGCUCUGACAGAGGGGAAGAAAUGUAGCGGUGCUAAUAUCGCCGUUACUUGACGGUACCCUCAAAGGAAGCACCGGCUAACUCCGUGCCAGCAGCCGCGGUAAUACGGAGGGUGCAAGCGUUGUUCGGAAUUAUUGGGCGUAAAGCGCGUGUAGGCGGUUUGUUAAGUCUGAUGUGAAAGCCCCGGGCUCAACCUGGGAAGUGCAUUGGAAACUGGCAGACUUGAAUACGGGAGAGGGUAGUGGAAUUCCUAGUGUAGGAGUGAAAUCCGUAGAUAUUAGGAGGAACACCGGUGGCGAAGGCGGCUACCUGGACCGAUAUUGACGCUGAGACGCGAAAGCGUGGGGAGCAAACAGGAUUAGAUACCCUGGUAGUCCACGCUGUAAACGAUGAGAACUAGGUGUUGCGGGUA